GUUGUUGGAUGUUGAAGAACCAUACUCCCUCAGGAAGAAGACCCUUGUCCUCCAUUGGAAUUUCUCUGUUCCACUCUUUUCUGUUACAUCAUUCUCCCAAAGGCUGAAAAGUCUGGAAGCCAGAGUCUGAAUGGCUUAGCUGGGUUUGAGGUGCUACCAUUUCCCCAUGGGAGGACACAGGGAGAAACAAGAUUCCUUAGAAAAGGAAGAAUAAUUCCAGGAAAUCAGGGUGCUUUCACCCUGAGGCAUGUUGUUAGGCCAAAGCAAGAGCUCUCUGGUAUGCAGGUUUUAGAAAGGAGCAGGGGAAACAGAGGAAUGAUUCCACCAUACCCUUUCUUAGAACUGGCCAAAUUCUGGGCAACACUUCCAAGAGGGAGAUGACUACUUGAGGGGGAAGGUGUUCAAAAUCAGCAACUAAGACGAUGAACGUCUGGAAAACAUGACUCAGAAGGAACGGUCGAAAGAACUGAGGCUGAACCCAAAGGAGAGAGGACCAAGUUGGCAUCUAUUGGCUGUCCUUAGAUAUGGUAAGGCCUGGUAUGUAGAAGCAAGAAAAUUAUGUAAUUUAAUGGUUCUAAAAGGAAGAAUUGAAAUCAAGAAACAGACUUUAAAGGGAAACAGAUUUCUGCCCAAGGAUCUAAGAAAACUCCUUCCAAAAAAUGAAAUGUGUUGACUUGUAAGGGAGGGAACUUCUUCCCACUGGAAAACCUCCAGUGUUCAAUUACCUAUGGCGGUAGGAACACUCCACGCUCUGCGGUUGGGGAUGCUGACCUAAUGGCUACCGAUGGCCAGAGAGCUCUGCCUUUGAGACAUAUUUGCCAUCAGCAUUUUUUCAUAUGUGGAAUUCCAGAUGUGGACAAUGUGAGUGACAACAGAGAGGACAAGGAGGGGCUCCCUGCAUACCCCCUGGACCAUUAUCCAGGCCCCACACAGUAUAAGCAUACCACUGGCGAACUCUUUAUACCAGAGCGUUGCUUUGCCCAACAGCUACUUUUGGAAUGUGUCGCACUGCCCCGCCUCCUUCCCG
rnacentral:lncRNA from 1 species